AGAGUUUGAUUCUGGCUCAGGAUGAACGCUAGCUACAGGCUUAACACAUGCAAGUCGAGGGGCAGCAUGGUCUUAGCUUGCUAAGGCCGAUGGCGACCGGCGCACGGGUGAGUAACACGUAUCCAACCUGCCGUCUACUCUUGGACAGCCUUCUGAAAGGAAGAUUAAUACAAGAUGGCAUCAUGAGUCCGCAUGUUCACAUGAUUAAAGGUGUUCCGGUAGACGAUGGGGAUGCGUUCCAUUAGAUAGUAGGCGGGGUAACGGCCCACCUAGUCUUCGAUGGAUAGGGGUUCUGAGAGGAAGGUCCCCCACAUUGGAACUGAGACACGGUCCAAACUCCUACGGGAGGCAGCAGUGAGGAAUAUUGGUCAAUGGGCGAGAGCCUGAACCAGCCAAGUAGCGUGAAGGAUGACUGCCCUAUGGGUUGUAAACUUCUUUUAUAAAGGAAUAAAGUCGGGUAUGCAUACCCGUUUGCAUGUACUUUAUGAAUAAGGAUCGGCUAACUCCGUGCCAGCAGCCGCGGUAAUACGGAGGAUCCGAGCGUUAUCCGGAUUUAUUGGGUUUAAAGGGAGCGUAGAUGGAUGUUUAAGUCAGUUGUGAAAGUUUGCGGCUCAACCGUAAAAUUGCAGUUGAUACUGGAUAUCUUGAGUGCAGUUGAGGCAGGCGGAAUUCGUGGUGUAGCGGUGAAAUGCUUAGAUAUCACGAAGAACUCCGAUUGCGAAGGCAGCCUGCUAAGCUGCAACUGACAUUGAGGCUCGAAAGUGUGGGUAUCAA
rnacentral:rRNA from 1 species